GAAGCUCGAGGAAGAGAAAAAACAACUGGAAGGAGAAAUCAUAGAUUUUUAUAAAAUGAAAGCUGCCUCUGAAGCACUGCAGACUCAGCUGAGCACUGAUACAAAGAAAGACAAACAUCUAACAAUUUGGACAAGACAGCAAAUGCUAUUGUCCAAGUUUUCUAAAGAAGAAUCUGAAGUGAAAUGACAUCAAGAGACCUAUCAAGACCUGUAUCCAGGAAAAGAGUCUUGCUCUUGUUGCCCAGGCUGGAGUGCAAUGGCGUGAUUUUGGCUCACUGUAAACUCCACCUCCUGGGUUCAAGCGAUUCUCCUGCCUCAGCCUCCCUAGUAGCUGGUAUUACAGGUGCCUGCCACCACACCCAGCUAAUUUUUGUAUUUUUAGUAGAGAUGGGGGUUUCACCAUGUUGGCCAGCCUGGUCCCGAACUCCUGACCUUAGGUGAUCCACCAGCAUCGGCCUCCCAAAGUGCUGGGAUUACAGGUGUGAGCCACUGCGUCCAGCCAGUGGUGGGUCUCAUAUCUCAAUGUGGGCUUUUACUAACUCCCGAUGCCUCAGUUUCCUCAUCAGUUGAAAGGAAUGAAUGAAAGAUAUGUGUUUUUCAUAUUACCAGGUAGAUGAUAAGGAGAUUUU
rnacentral:lncRNA from 1 species